GGGUCAUGAGGUGUGAAGAUGCAGUUUUUUCCCCUGUAUUAGUUACCUUAACACCUGCCUGUCUACCCAGCAGCAUGUUUGAUUCUGCCUGCUGCUCCACCAGUUAAAAAUGCAAGGAGGUCCUUGACCCCAUGUUCCCACCAUUCUCUGGGGAGGAGUUGAGCUUGUAGGCCCUUCACAAAACCCACUGUUAUCACGAUGCAUACAGUGCCAAAUGGCUGUCCAUAUCUAUUGGUGAGAUGGCUCCCACUGAAGGAUGAAGGCAGAGGACUUCAAAUGCUGCUGCAGAUGUGUGAAGCACACCAACUGCUGCUUCAUUGCCAGCAGCCUAUGUGCCUGAUUUGUGAUGAGCAACUUGAGAUCCUUGCCAAGGACAGCAGCAUCAAGCCGUGCUAUAUGUCAGCAGAGAAGAGGAAGUCUAGGCUGUGAACAUUAAGGCUUUCACUUCAAAUGAGAACCUUUUUGACUUCCUAUCCACUGAUCCAGCUUGGAUGAAACUGACUGGUCAGUCACAGCUACCUGCAUUGCUGCCAGCUGUUGGCUAGCCAGUCCCUUCAAAAUCAUUGUAUCAGAGCCCCUUUGCCUUGGAUACCAUCCAGGCAGGAUCUCAGUCUGCAGCUUUGGGUCUUCAAGUUCUUUACUGCAGACAGUGGCUUGUCCUCUGGUAAACCUGAGGAAGAAAACAGAGGGUGGGGAAACAGGGUUGGGCG